GCUUAGAGGGCUCAGUUGGUAGAGCAUGAGACUCUUGAUCUCAAGGUCAUGAGUUCAAGUA
rnacentral:tRNA from 1 species